CGCUGGCGGCGUGCUUAACACAUGCAAGUCGAACGGAAAGGCCCUGCUUUUGUGGGGUGCUCGAGUGGCGAACGGGUGAGUAACACGUGAGUAACCUGCCCUUGACUUUGGGAUAACUUCAGGAAACUGGGGCUAAUACCGGAUAGGAGCUCCUGCUGCAUGGUGGGGGUUGGAAAGUUUCGGCGGUUGGGGAUGGACUCGCGGCUUAUCAGCUUGUUGGUGGGGUAGUGGCUUACCAAGGCUUUGACGGGUAGCCGGCCUGAGAGGGUGACCGGCCACAUUGGGACUGAGAUACGGCCCAGACUCCUACGGGAGGCAGCAGUGGGGAAUAUUGCACAAUGGGCGGAAGCCUGAUGCAGCAACGCCGCGUGCGGGAUGACGGCCUUCGGGUUGUAAACCGCUUUCGCCUGUGACGAAGCGUGAGUGACGGUAAUGGGUAAAGAAGCACCGGCUAACUACGUGCCAGCAGCCGCGGUGAUACGUAGGGUGCGAGCGUUGUCCGGAUUUAUUGGGCGUAAAGGGCUCGUAGGUGGUUGAUCGCGUCGGAAGUGUAAUCUUGGGGCUUAACCCUGAGCGUGCUUUCGAUACGGGUUGACUUGAGGAAGGUAGGGGAGAAUGGAAUUCCUGGUGGAGCGGUGGAAUGCGCAGAUAUCAGGAGGAACACCAGUGGCGAAGGCGGUUCUCUGGGCCUUUCCUGACGCUGAGGAGCGAAAGCGUGGGGAGCGAACAGGCUUAGAUACCCUGGUAGUCCACGCUGUAAACGGUGGGUACUAGGUGUGGGGUCCAUUCCACGGGUUCCGUGCCGUAGCUAACGCUUUAAGUACCCCGCCUGGGGAGUACGGCCGCAAGGCUAAAACUCAAAGGAAUUGACGGGGCCCCGCACAAGCGGCGGAGCAUGCGGAUUAAUUCGAUGCAACGCGUAGAACCUUACCUGGGUUUGACAUGGAUCGGGAGUGCUCAGAGAUGGGUGUGCCUCUUUUGGGGUCGGUUCACAGGUGGUGCAUGUCUGUCGUCAGCUCGUGUCGUGAGAUGUUGGGUUAAGUCCCGCAACGAGCGCAACCCUUGUUCACUGUUGCCAGCCCGUUAUGGUGGGGACUCAGUGGAGACCGCCGGGGUCAACUCGGAGGAAGGUGGGGAUGACGUCAAGUCAUCAUGCCCUUUAUGUCCAGGGCUUCACUCAUGCUACAAUGGCUGGUACAGAGAGUGGCGAGCCUGUGAGGGUGAGCGAAUUUCGGAAACCCGGUUUCAGUUCGGAUUGGGGUCUGCAACUCGACCUCAUGAAGUCGGAGUCGCUAGUAAUCGCAGAUCAGCAACGCUGCGGUGAAUACGUUCCCGGGGCUUGUACACACCUCCCGUCAAGUCAUGAAAGUUGGUAACUCCGGAAGCCGGUGGCCUAACCGUUGUGGGGGAGCCGUUGAAGGUGGGA
rnacentral:rRNA from 1 species